rnacentral:rRNA from 1 species
CUUUCCCUCUUUCUUCAGGCCUAACACAUGCAAGUCGAACGGUAACAGGAAGAAGCUUGCUUCUUUGCUGACGAGUGGCGGACGGGUGAGUAAUGUCUGGGAAACUGCCUGAUGGAGGGGGAUAACUACUGGAAACGGUAGCUACUACCGCAUAACGUCGCAAGACCAAAGAGGGGGACCUUCGGGCCUCUUGCCAUCGGAUGUGCCCAGAUGGGAUUAGCUAGUAGGUGGGGUAACGGCUCACCUAGGCGACGAUCCCUAGCUGGUCUGAGAGGAUGACCAGCCACACUGGAACUGAGACACGGUCCAGACUCCUACGGGAGGCAGCAGUGGGGAAUAUUGCACAAUGGGCGCAAGCCUGAUGCAGCCAUGCCGCGUGUAUGAAGAAGGCCUUCGGGUUGUAAAGUACUUUCAGCGGGGAGGAAGGGAGUAAAGUUAAUACCUUUGCUCAUUGACGUUACCCGCAGAAGAAGCACCGGCUAACUCCGUG